UACGGAGGAUGCGAGCGUUAUCCGGAUUUAUUGGGUUUAAAGGGUGCGUAGGCGGGCUUUUAAGUCAGCGGUAAAAAUUCGGGGCUCAACCCCGUCCGGCCGUUGAAACUGGGGGUCUUAAGUGGGCGAGAAGAAGGCGGAAUGCGUGGUGUAGCGGUGAAAUGCAUAGAUAUCACGCAGAACCCCGAUUGCGAAGGCAGCCUUCCGGCGCCCUACUGACGCUGAGGCACGAAAGUGCGGGGAUCGAACAGG
rnacentral:rRNA from 1 species